UGGUUCCUAUUAUACUAUGUCUUUGGUUAACUCACUCUUGUCAAUUUCAGGAAGACUAUUUUCUGUCACCUGAAGUAAACAAAGUCAUCACUUAUACUAUGAUGUUGGUAUAUUUUACAGGGAAAGAUUAGCUUAUUACAUCUUUGGAGAAAUGGGAAGAAGUCAUUCUAGAUCUCCUUCAAGUACAGGCCGUAGCCACAGCAGGUCUAGAUCACAGAACAGAGACAGAAACAGAGAUCAUGACAGGAACAGUAACAGAAGACCUAAAGAAAGAGAGAGAUUCCGUAGCAGAUCACCUAACAGACAUCGUAGCAGGUCACCCAGGCAUAAUUCCAUGUCUCAGAGGAGAUCGUCACCACCUCGUAGGUGGUCACAUUCAAGAUAUUCUUUUGCCUCAGGCUCAAGAAGAUAUGAAGAUGAAGAAGAAGAAGAAGAAACUGUUACCAGUUAUCUUCUUGACGAACAAAACAUAACAGGGUAAACGUGUUUUAGGAAAUGAUGUCUAUUCCAUUAUUUCAGUCCAGAAAGGGGAACACAGGUGAUUUUAGGAAUGGAGAAGGAACCUGUAGCUGUACUUCAGUUCAACAUAAAUGUUAUGAUUUAGUACUUCUCAUUUGAAUAAAGUGUUUUUCAUAUUAAAUGUAUCUGUAUACAUUCAUGUUGUUUGUGUAUAAGAGAUAAACUAUACUCACUACAGCCAUUAACAUGAAUAGUGCAAGACUAGCGUUAAAUCAUACAAUGGCCAUUAACAUGGAAUAGUGCAAGACUAGCGUUAAAUCAUACAAUGGCCAUUAACAUGAAUAGUGCAAGACUAGUGUUAAAUCAUACUAAGGCCAUUAACAUGAAUAGUGCAAGACUAGCAUUAAAUCAUACAAUGGCCAUUAACAUGAAUAGUGCAAGACUAGCGUUAAAUCAUACAAUGGCCAUUAACAUGAAUAGUGCAAGACAGUGUUAAAUCAUACAAUGGCCAUUAACAUGAGUAGUGCAAGACCAGUGUUAAAUCAUACAAUGGCCAUUAACAUGAAUAGUGCAAGACCAGUGUUAAAUCAUACAAUAGCCAUUAACAUGAAUAGUGCAAGACUAGCGUUAAAUCAUACAAUGGCCAUUAACAUGAAUAGUGCAAGACUAGUGUUAAAUCAUACAACGGCCAUUAACUUACUUGAACAAUGUUAGACUUCUGUCCAUGCGUUGCAUAACUUGAAUAACUCUAACAUCAGGCAGCAGUCAAGCGAAAGUCUUAGUACCUUUAACUAAAGUUUUGAUAAAGUAUUUGAAAGUGAAAAUGGAAUUGUGAAGUUUACAUUAAUAUGCACAUUUUUUAUAUUUUAUUUGCACCGUAUACAAUGUAAGCUUUAUGGGUAGAUAUAACGGUGAAUUGUAAGUUUAAAAUAUUUUAGUCUUUUCAAUUUUUUGAUUGCAUUAUAAUUGUAUCAGUUUGUGUGCAUAGGACAGUAAACUGCAGGUUUAUAAAACGUAUAAACAUUUUGAAAACUUUAAA
rnacentral:misc_RNA from 1 species